CCAAAGGGGAGUGAGGAGACAUUAUCGAGUUUUGAGCAGGGUUGUAUUAGCUGGCCUUUUGAAAGUGUUGAAGAAAACAACGUUUUCAAAGGGCAUGUGCACACCUUAGCUUUCAUCCACUAUCAAACCUCCUCCUGUGCACUUUCUAGUAGGCUUGGUGUCAGAGGGGCCGAUCGCUGCGGCAGUCGGUCUCGAAAACCCUCGCCUAUGUCUUUUAUUAUUACAUACGCUUACAGUCAAGAAUGUGUCAAGCCCUUGCAAAAGGGAAAAAUUAUACAAACACAACUUUCAGCAACGGAUCUCUUGGCUCUCGCAUCGAUGAAGAACGCAGCGAAAUGCGAUAAGUAAUGUGAAUUGCAGAAUUCAGUGAAUCAUCGAAUCUUUGAACGCACCUUGCGCUCCUUGGUAUUCCGAGGAGCAUGCCUGUUUGAGUGUCAUAAAAUUCUCAACCUCACGAAAGAUUCUUACGUCUGUCGUGAAGGAUUUGGACUUGGAGGUCGUGUCGGCGCCCGAUGUUCUUCAUCUCGCCGACUCCUCUUAAAAGCAUUAGCGUGAACUUUUGACGAAUCGCCUUCGGUGUGAUAAUUAUCUACGCCGUGGUCGUGAAGUUGCGAACGAUGGCUUGCGCUCACAAUCGUCUUUCGGGACACAAAAAUUGUUUGACGAAAUCUGACCUCAAAUCAGGUAGGACUACCCGCUGAACUUAAGCAUAUCAAAAACCGGGGGGGGAA
rnacentral:rRNA from 1 species